rnacentral:rRNA from 1 species
GAUGAACGCUAGCUACAGGCUUAACACAUGCAAGUCGCGGGGCAGCAUUUCCUUAGCUUGCUAAGGAAGAUGGCGACCGGCGCACGGGUGAGUAACGCGUAUCCAACCUUCCCAUGUCCACGGGAUAGCCCGUCGAAAGGCGGAUUAAUACCGUAUGAGGUCACAUGCGGGCAUCUAAGUGUGACGAAAGGUUUAGCGGACAUGGAUGGGGAUGCGUCCGAUUAGCUUGUUGGCGGGGUAACGGCCCACCAAGGCGACGAUCGGUAGGGGUUCUGAGAGGAAGGUCCCCCACAUUGGAACUGAGACACGGUCCAAACUCCUACGGGAGGCAGCAGUGAGGAAUAUUGGUCAAUGGGCGCAAGCCUGAACCA